AAGCAGCUUCUUGCUUCCCAUUCUGAAGGUGAUGGUCAAGGACUUUCAAGCCCUCCAAUUGAAAAUGCCAGCAUUAAGGACAGAGUCUCCCAAGUGAGUUGCACAAACCCUGGGAGGUGUGUCAGGUGAGGCUCUGAAGUGAUAAAAAAUAUUGGGACUUCUAUUUUUUAAUAUAUUUUAAUCCUUCAAAAGAAAGGAAUAAAGAUCUGCUAACAUCUAACCUAUGGAUCAGCUCCAGCAUCUUCUCUCCACACAGAUGUCUGCCUGCCAGGUCAUGAGACGGCACCUCUCUAGGAGGGACGUGGGAGGAGCAGCCAGCCCUGCCCCGGCUUUCUCCUUACUUUUUAGUAUCCUGCUCCCUAUUGCAUUUUACAUGUGCCCAAUUCAGUGGAUUCACAGGCUGUAUCAUCUAGUUAAUCAAACUAAUCCUUCACAAAAGCUCUGAUGGCUUCAAGAUAUUUCUGCAAAGAAACCAACUUAAUAACAA